UACGUAGGGUGCGAGCGUUAAUCGGAAUUACUGGGCGUAAAGCGUGCGCAGGCGGCGCCGCAAGUCAGGCGUGAAAUCCCCGAGCUUAACUUGGGAAUGGCGCUUGAAACUACGGUGCUGGAGUGUGGCAGAGGGAGGUGGAAUUCCACGUGUAGCGGUGAAAUGCGUAGAGAUGUGGAGGAACACCGAUGGCGAAGGCAGCCUCCUGGGCCAACACUGACGCUCAUGCAUGAAAGCGUGGGGAGCAAACAGG
rnacentral:rRNA from 1 species